GACGAACGCUGGCGGCGUGCUUAACACAUGCAAGUCGAACGGUGAAGCGCCUUCCUUUUUGGUGGGUGUGGAUGAGUGGCGAACGGGUGAGUAACACGUGAGUAACCUGCCCCCUUCUUCUGGAUAACCGCAUGAAAGUGUGGCUAAUACGGGAUAUUCUGGGUCUGUCGCAUGAUGGGUCUGGGAAAGAUCUUGUUUCGGUGGGGGAUGGGCUCGCGGCCUAUCAGCUUGUUGGUGGGGUGAUGGCCUACCAAGGCGGUGACGGGUAGCCGGCCUGAGAGGGUGGACGGUCACACUGGGACUGAGACACGGCCCAGACUCCUACGGGAGGCAGCAGUGGGGAAUAUUGCACAAUGGGCGCAAGGCUGAUGCAGCGACGCCGCGUGGGGGAUGGAGGCCUUCGGGUUGUGAACCUCUUUCGCCAGUGAAGCAGGCCUGCCUCGUUUGUGGGUGGGUUGACGGUAGCUGGAUAAGAAGCGCCGGCUAACUACGUG
rnacentral:rRNA from 1 species